rnacentral:sRNA from 1 species
UGAAUCUAAUACCGGAUCGGAAUCGCAAC